GCAGCCAUUGCAUGCCAGCGGCGCAUUCGUAAUGCGUAGGUCGUAGGUUCGAUUCCUAUUUCCGGCACCA
rnacentral:tRNA from 3 species